AUCCCCUGGCAAUGGGCAAAGAGACACCUUGUUGAUGGUGGUGUGCUUUUAUUAGUCAGGAGCAGAGCAAAUGGCAGUCCUUUGUUCAUCCUACCUUGAUGCCUGGCUUACUGGUCAAAGCUGUCUCAUGCCUAGGGCUCAUAA